rnacentral:rRNA from 1 species
GACGAACGCUGGCGGCGUGCUUAACACAUGCAAGUCGAGCGGUAAGGCCCUUUCGGGGGUACACGAGCGGCGAACGGGUGAGUAACACGUGGGUGACCUGCCCUCAGCUCUGGGAUAAGCCUGGGAAACCGGGUCUAAUACCGGAUAUGACUCCAUGACGCAUGUUGUGGGGUGGAAAGCCUUGUGCGGCUGAGGAUGGGCCCGCGGCCUAUCAGCUUGUUGGUGGGGUGAUGGCCUACCAAGGCGACGACGGGUAGCCGGCCCGAGAGGGCGACCGGCCACACUGGGACUGAGACACGGCCCAGACUCCUACGGGAGGCAGCAGUGGGGAAUCUUGCGCAAUGGGCGAAAGCCUGACGCAGCGACGCCGCGUGAGGGAUGACGGCCU